GGCCCAAUGGUCUAGACGUAUGAUACACGCUUCGGGUUUCCCCGGUUACUUCCGUAACUCUUAUGUGUGUGGUCCCGGGUUCAAUUCCCGGUUGGGCCC